AUUGAACGCUGGCGGCAUGCCUUACACAUGCAAGUCGAACGGUAACAGGUCUUCGGAUGCUGACGAGUGGCGAACGGGUGAGUAAUACAUCGGAACGUGCCCGAGAGUGGGGGAUAACGAGGCGAAAGCUUUGCUAAUACCGCAUACGAUCUCAGGAUGAAAGCAGGGGACCGCAAGGCCUUGCGCUCACGGAGCGGCCGAUGGCAGAUUAGGUAGUUGGUGGGAUAAAAGCUUACCAAGCCGACGAUCUGUAGCUGGUCUGAGAGGACGACCAGCCACACUGGGACUGAGACACGGCCCAGACCCCUACGGGAGGCAGCAGCGGGGAAUUUUGGACAAUGGGCGCAAGCCUGAUCCAGCCAUGCCGCGUGCAGGAUGAAGGCCUUCGGGUUGUAAACUGCUUUUGUACGGAACGAAAAGACUCUGGUUAAUACCUGGGGUCCAUGACGGUACCGUAAGAAUAAGCACCGGCUAACUACGUGCCAGCCGCCGCGGUAAGAC
rnacentral:rRNA from 1 species